UUAUGCUAACCAAUUUGCACCAAAGUAUCCGCAGUCAAGCGUGCUUGGGUGAGAGUAGUACUAGGAAGGGUGACCUCCUGGGAAGUACUCGUGUUGCACCUC
rnacentral:rRNA from 2 species